rnacentral:rRNA from 1 species
AUUGAACGCUGGCGGCAUGCCUUACACAUGCAAGUCGAACGGUAACAGGUCUUCGGAUGCUGACGAGUGGCGAACGGGUGAGUAAUACAUCGGAACGUGCCCGAGAGUGGGGGAUAACGAGGCGAAAGCUUUGCUAAUACCGCAUACGAUCUCAGGAUGAAAGCAGGGGACCGCAAGGCCUUGCGCUCACGGAGCGGCCGAUGGCAGAUUAGGUAGUUGGUGGGAUAAAAGCUUACCAAGCCGACGAUCUGUAGCUGGUCUGAGAGGACGACCAGCCACACUGGGACUGAGACACGGCCCAGACUCCUACGGGAGGCAGCAGUGGGGAAUUUUGGACAAUGGGCGCAAGCCUGAUCCAGCCAUGCCGCGUGUCUGAAGAAGGCCUUCGGGUUGUAAAGGACUUUUGUCCGGGAGCAAAUGCUGGUGGCUAACAUCCACCGGAGCUGAGAGUACCGGAAGAAUAAGCACCGGCUAACUACGUGCCAGCCGCCACAGUAACAC